rnacentral:rRNA from 1 species
GACGAACGCUGGCGGCGUGCUUAACACAUGCAAGUCGAACGGUAAGGCCCUUCGGGGUACACGAGUGGCGAACGGGUGAGUAACACGUGGGUGAUCUGCCCUGCACUUCGGGAUAAGCCUGGGAAACUGGGUCUAAUACCGGAUAGGGCCACUGCCCGCAUGGGUGGGGGUGGAAAGCGUUUGCGGUGUGGGAUUGGCCCGCGGCCUAUCAGCUGGGUGGUGGGGUGAUGGCCUACCAAGGCGACGACGGGUAGCCGGCCUGCUAGGGUGACCGGCGACACUGGGAGUGAGCGGAGGCCCAGACGCCUACGGGAGGCAGCAGUGGGGAAUAUUGCACGGUGGGCGGAAGCCUGACGCAGCGGCGCCGCGUGAGGGAUGACGGGCUUCGCGUUGUAAACCUCGUUCAGCACCGACGGAGCGCGAGUGACGGUAGGUGCAGAAGAAGGACCGGCCAACUACGUGCCAGCCGCCGCGGUAA